GACGAACGCUGGCGGCGUGCUUAACACAUGCAAGUCGAGCGAUGAAGCUCCUUCGGGAGUGGAUUAGCGGCGGACGGGUGAGUAACACGUGGGUAACCUGCCUCAUAGAGGGGAAUAGCCUUCCGAAAGGAAGAUUAAUACCGCAUAAGAUUGUAGUUCCGCAUGGAACGGCAAUUAAAGGAGUAAUCCGCUAUGAGAUGGACCCGCGUCGCAUUAGCUAGUUGGUGAGGUAACGGCUCACCAAGGCGACGAUGCGUAGCCGACCUGAGAGGGUGAUCGGCCACAUUGGGACUGAGACACGGCCCAGACUCCUACGGGAGGCAGCAGUGGGGAAUAUUGCACAAUGGGGGAAACCCUGAUGCAGCAACGCCGCGUGAGUGAUGACGGUCUUCGGAUUGUAAAACUCUGUCUUUGGGGACGAUAAUGACGGUACCCAAGGAGGAAGCCACGGCUAACUACGUGCCAGCCGCCGCGGUAACAC
rnacentral:rRNA from 1 species